UACGUAGGUGGCAAGCGUUGUCCGGAUUUCCUGGGCGUAAAGAGCGCGCAGGCGGUCGUUCAAGUCGCGUGUGAAAGCCCCCGGCUCAACUGGGGAGGGUCACGCGAUACUGAUCGACUCGAAGGCAGGAGAGGGUAGUGGAAUUCCCGGUGUAGUGGUGAAAUGCGUAGAUAUCGGGAGGAACACCAGUGGCGAAGGCGACUACCUGGCCUGUUCUUGACGCUGAGGCGCGAAAGCUAGGGGAGCAAACGGG
rnacentral:rRNA from 1 species